rnacentral:rRNA from 1 species
UCAGGCCUAACACAUGCAAGUCGAGCGGUAACAGAACUAGCUUGCUAGUUGCUGACGAGCGGCGGACGGGUGCGUAACACGUAGGAAUCUGCCCGGUAGUGGGGGAUAGCCCGGAGAAAUCCGGAUUAAUACCGCAUACGCCUUAAGAGGGAAAGCAGGGGAUCUUCGGACCUUGCGCUAUCGGAUGAGCCUGCGUCGGAUUAGCUUGUUGGUGGGGUAAAGGCCUACCAAGGCAACGAUCCGUAGCUGGUCUGAGAGGAUGAUCAGCCACACUGGGACUGAGACACGGCCCAGACUCCUACGGGAGGCAGCAGUGGGGAAUAUUGCACAAUGGGCGAAAGCCUGAUGCAGCCAUGCCGCGUGUGUGAAGAAGGCCCUAGGGUUGUAAAGCACUUUCAGCGAGGAGGAAAGGGUGUUCGUUAAUACCGGGCAUCUGUGACGUUACUCGCAGAAGAAGCACCGGCUAACUCCGUGCCAGCAGCCGCGGUAAUACGGAGGGUGCGAGCGUUAAUCGGAAUUACUGGGCGUAAAGCGUGCGUAGGCGGCUUGUUAAGUCGGAUGUGAAAGCCCCGGGCUUAACCUGGGAACUGCAUCCAAAACUGGCAAGCUAGAGUGCGGAAGAGGAGUGUGGAAUUUCCUGUGUAGCGGUGAAAUGCGUAGAUAUAGGAAGGAACACCAGUGGCGAAGGCGACACUCUGGC